rnacentral:sRNA from 1 species
CGAGAAUCGCCCAUUGCCCACUGGUCAUAUCAAUAUUGAUGGAGUUGAUAUUCACGCAAACGCACAGUGCCACCUAUGUUUACCUGACAGAGAAACCUUUUGGAGCAAAAAUAUUUCAACUUGAAUGUCACUGUAACAAGAACAGGAAGUAAAGAGAAAGAAAUUCAAUAUAUGUAAAUAUCGAUUGCAAUUUUAGUUACAUUUAAACAAUAGCUUCAGAGCAAUUAACUCAACAAAUAGAAAGCCAUUUUCAAACCGGAAGGAUAAGCUAGCAUGUUACUAGAAUAUAUAUUUUUUCAGAGAGGGGGGGGGGGUGUUAAAGAAAAACUAUUGACAGUGUGUACAAUCCCGGAAAUCUUUAUUUUUUGACUUUAGAGGUGUAUUUUAAUUCCAGGCAGUCGAACAAGAAAAUGAAUAUAGCCAACUUUGCAUUACAUUGAAAAGGAAAAACCAACAUAUCAUGGGAAGAAUUGAAAAGAAAAUUGUAACCUAUAAUGCUCAAGAGAGCUUGAAAUUUGUUUUAUAAAUGUCAUUGUUGUAUCAGC